rnacentral:rRNA from 1 species
AUGGCGUCCGGCUGCUGCGUCCUCGUCGAUUCCGGGGCGUACAUCGACGACACCAACGACAGCACCAACGACAGCACGGCCCAAGAGUAUACUAAUACAGGCAGUCAGAUCGUGGUUUCCUUAUGGCCUGCUCACCCGCCGAUCCCCUCCCGUCUCUCCGUGCACUGCAAGUGGAUGCGUCCCGGCCAUGUCUUCUUCCAUGAACCCAAGAUCCUUUGCGCGGCGGACUGCUUCUUUGUCCUCCGCAUCGCCAUCGGCCGCAGCCCCCCACCCAUAAACAUCACACAGAAGGUGAGCGACUACUUCAUCUACCAGUCAGCUAGCUCCACAGGUCCGUCGCUCAAGCUCCUCCCGCACCCUCACCCUCACUUGUUCACCGACAAUGGGGUUGCCGUCCUCCCCCGCGGCGACGAGUUUACCAUCGCCGUGCUCUCUCAAACCUCAUAUUACAAUUUCCUGCUCUACCUCUUCAAAUCUGAGGACUGGUAUUGGACCUCCAAGAAGGUGCUGGUGGACUCGCCGCAGCUACCCUUCCCCAUGCCGCUCCCCCCUGACCAUGUCCAUGGCCACUUUCAGCAUCAUACCAACUCGGUAAUCACCAUCGGGAGCAGGGGACUCGUUGGCUGGGUUGAUCUCUGGCACGGAAUACUGCUCUACGACGUGCUCCGUGACGACAACGACAACGACAAAGUACGCCUUGUGCCGCUGCCCGUAAGGCUGGGAAGCCAUGGCGGCAAUGCGCUUGGUUGCUGUCCAAAGCCUUACCGAAGCGUUGCUGUCCUGGGGGAUUGCCUCAAGUUUGUCGAGUUGGAAGUCUCUGGUGAUCGUCUUCCUGGUAAAGACCCUGAAACCAGGGGCCCCAAUAUCAGAAUUGAUGACUGGGCACUCACCACAUAUACCAACUGCAACAUCACCGGCGAUCCCGACGAUUGGAUAAUCGACUUCACUGUCAAUGCAUCUGCCAUCCGAAUUGACACAGCAAUGCGGUCUGGAUUGGUUCACUGCGGAAUGCUGCGUAAGACUGAGGCUGCAGAGAGAAACUUGCAAAAUCUCUGGACAUGUCAGCCUGUUCUCAGCCUGAAUGAUCAAGGCAAUGUUGUUUACCUCAUCACCAGGGUCAAAUUCCGGCACCCUAAGGCAUGGCUUCUUGCUGUUGACGUGGCCAACAAGCAAGUACGAGCAAUGGCUAAGAUUGAAGCUGAAAGGAGCACCGCCUUGUCGCUCAACUAUUUUCCUUGUAGGAUCUCAUCUCCAGCUACCUGCCUGAAUGGGACAACUAUGCCAGUUACUCGUGGCACACUGAUGCUUGGGGAACAAACUGCGGAACAAACUGCGGGUGAUGGCGGGAAAUGA